rnacentral:rRNA from 1 species
AUGCAGUCGGACGGCAGCGCGGGCUUCGGCCUGGCGGCGAGUGGCGAACGGGUGAGUAAUACAUCGGAACGUGUCCUGUAGUGGGGGAUAGCCCGGCGAAAGCCGGAUUAAUACCGCAUACGCUCUGCGGAGGAAAGCGGGGGAUCCUUCGGGACCUCGCGCUACAGGGGCGGCCGAUGGCAGAUUAGCUAGUUGGUGGGGUAAAGGCCUACCAAGGCGACGAUCUGUAGCUGGUCUGAGAGGACGACCAGCCACACUGGGACUGAGACACGGCCCAGACUCCUACGGGAGGCAGCAGUGGGGAAUUUUGGACAAUGGGGGCAACCCUGAUCCAGCAAUGCCGCGUGUGUGAAGAAGGCCUUCGGGUUGUAAAGCACUUUUGUCCGGAAAGAAAACUUCUGGGUUAAUACCCCGGGAGGAUGACGGUACCGGAAGAAUAAGCACCGGCUAACUACGUGCCAGCAGCCGCGGUAAUACGUAGGGUGCAAGCGUUAAUCGGAAUUACUGGGCGUAAAGCGUGCGCAGGCGGUUCGCUAAGACAGAUGUGAAAUCCCCGGGCUUAUCCUGGGAACUGCGUUUGUGACUGGCUGUCUAGAUUAUGGCACAAGGGGGGUAGAAUUCCU